ACUCCUACGGGAGGCAGCAGUGGGGAAUAUUGGACAAUGGGGGCAACCCUGAUCCAGCCAUGCCGCGUGUGUGAAGAAGGCUUUCGGGUUGUAAAGCACUUUCAGCGAGGAGGAAGGCCUUAAAGUUAAUACCUUUAAGGAUUGACGUUACUCGCAGAAGAAGCACCGGCUAACUCCGUGCCAGCAGCCGCGGUAAU
rnacentral:rRNA from 1 species